GUCGGAUGCUCAACCGACUGAGCCACCCAGGGCGCCCACGCACAAAUAUCUUGUGUGCUGUUGUCAAAACCCUGCGUCUGCGGACCUGGAGAAGGCAGAGACCAAAACCCCACCCUGUAACCAGAAAUGCUGGGAGGACCCGCCACACCAGGGCCGACCACCAGGUGGCACUAGUGCUGAGCUAAUAUGGGCUCGGCUUUUCCGCUCAGCUUUCCCGAGAGGCCGCCGCAUUUAACAGAGGCCAGUGAUUAGCAGCUCUCCGCGCUGACCCCUCUUCAGGCCCAGGUGGCUCUGAGUCUGCAAGUGAAUCUCCGGCCGGACGCAGAUUUGUUCAGGAAAUUGGACAGCCGAGACCGCAGCUUUGGGUAAGUGGGCACCGGUGGCUUUAUCUUGAAAGCAAAAGCUACCAACGUCCCCGUCUCUUUGCUAGACGUGUCUUGGGAAACUAAGACACUACUGUGGAUUCUUACAUGAGCCUAUUUUGUACCCGUUCUAUUCAGAGCAGUAUAACCUUUGCUUUCUGGCUAAUUAUCCUGAAGUCCACUUCAGAGAAUGUCACUACCCCUAGAGUUUCUGAGGCUGUCAAAGACUAGAUCCGCAUUUACCUGGUGAAGGGUGUGAGGGCAGUGGGAGGAGUCAGGAGAGGGAACCCUGGAGUCUGAGGCCUGCCACUGCUCGGUUGCCGUGACAAUGACAGGACCUCAGCCUCCACCCAGGUGAAAUCUCCCGAAUCUUAAGCCAAAGGCAGUCAGUUUAAGGGUUGAACCUAACAUCUUUGCAAUUACAUGGUUGCAAAUCUGAACAACUUGCUAGAGAGUCAAAAUGGGGUCUCAGAGGAGCUCAGGUCUGAAGUACAUUCUUGAAAAAUGCAUUUCCCCCGAAACAUGAGUGAGGGACCAGAAGUAGACGGCGGAGGGGAGAGUCUUUGGAAAGUACCAGAAGGCAAAAGACACAAUGAGUAGGAGGGAGCAGGAGAGCAGAGAUGUGGCUCAUUGGACCGAGAUCCCGCUGGAUCCCAACCAUGGGGCAUUCAUCCGUGCCCUCCAGUGUUCCACAAGCCUGUCCUGAGCGUCUAGUGUCUUCCCCUGAUCUACACACUGGUGACACAAAACAAAAAAACAAUCUCUGUCCUGGAAGUACUGCUUGGAGGAGAAGACAGAUCUGAAAAGGGACUGAGAAUCUAGAUGGCAGAGGCCAAAACCAUCAGUUAAAGUUCCCAUAUUUGGGACCAGCACCACAACUUGGUACUUUUCCUACCUGGUUACUUAUUUAAUAGCUGAAAACAUCUUAGUGAAGUAGCUAUUAUACCCCCAUUUUACAGAUGAAGUAACCUACUGUAAGAGGGUAAAUUACUUGCCCAGGCCCCAUAGCUAUUGCAUGGCGGAGCCAGGAUUCAAACAAGGGUCUCAGUUUCUAAAACUUCAUGUGCUCCCUUCACUCUGCUAUUCUCCCUCCGCCAUAUUGAAAAUCCUCACGCGGCUUAAUCCUGUCUACGCAGAGGCUCUGCCCACACCUUUGGGCUUCUUCUCCCUCCUCUUGUUCCUGGGCACACUGCCCAAGCUGUCAUCAGUUUCCCUUUCCAUGCAUGGGCCAUGCAGGUUUGUUAGGGGGAGACAGACCAAAGCUAUCCUCCAAGUUAAAAAAAAAAAAAAAAAAAUCCCUCCACAAAGGUGUAGAAUGAGGAAAAGAAUCCCCACCUAAACAUUAUAUCAUGCAAAGAACGAAGGUGACCAAAGAAUAAACCAGCCUUCUUCCCAUGGGCCAGCCCUCCAUUCUGAAAGAAAGCUGGUUACCAAAAGAGCAAAGG